GCGCGAAACCUUCACAAUGCACGAAAGUGUGAUGAGGGUACUCCGAGUGCGCAUACAUUGUAUGUGCUUUUCUGCAGCGUAAAUAGUUGCAGGAAUAAGGGCUGGGCAAGACCGGUGCCAGCCGCCGCGGUAACACCGGCAGCCCUAGUGGUGGCCGCUUUUAUUGGGCCUAAAGCGUCCGUAGCCGGAUAGGCAAGUCUUUGGGUAAAUCCUACGUCUUAAGCGUGGGAAUUCUAAAGAUACUACCUGUCUUGAGGCCGGGAGAGGCUAGAGGUACUCCUGGGGUAGGGGUAAAAUCCUAUAAUCCUGGGGGGACCACCGAUGGCGAAGGCAUCUAGCUGGAACGGGCCUGACGGUGAGGGACGAAACCCAGGGGAGCGAGCCGGAUUAGAUACCCGGGUAGUCCUGGGCGUAAAUGAUGUGGGCUUGGUGUGAGCGCAUCGACGAGGUGCGUUUGUGCCGUAGGGAAGCCGUUAAGCCCACCGCCUGGGGAGUACGGUCGCAAGGCUGAAACU
rnacentral:rRNA from 1 species